rnacentral:lncRNA from 1 species
GCCUUUUCUGAUGCAGCUGUUGCUGGAGUUGCUGUCACAACAGCUAAGACCGUAUUUGGUCUCCACUGUGGAGAGCAAUCUGCCUCCUGCCAGCAGCUCAGCUUUACAGGCAAAGCAGCCCGAGCCCUGUGGGAGCUAGAAGACAUUAGCAGCAAAAGGACAGCAACCGUGUGGACUCCAUCCAUGGUGCAGACAAUUCUUCCAUAGCUUCUAACUCCAGGCCAUACCCAGGAAGGGGCCUGGCAGAGCCUGUAGCCGACCUCUGCUCUGGCCAACACUAAUCAGAAAUAAAGGUAAACCCAAAAAAGUUGAAGAUAGAGAAAAAGAUUGGUGGUGAAGAAGAGGUGAAGAAUGUAUAAAGGCAAGUAUUUGCCUCUCACUAAGAUCCUGUGAAGAGAAGAUACACACGAAUUCCUAUUUUAGUCUGGAUCAGAAGAAAAUUUCCCUGGUGGCAGCAGCCCCGAUACUGAAAAGCAUCUUGCAUUCAUGCUCCUCACUGUCCCUCUUCUAUUUUAUCAAAGCACAUCUUUUUCUGGUGUGACAGCGG